rnacentral:miRNA from 1 species
UAGUUUAUCAGAUUGAUGUUGAU